rnacentral:tRNA from 1 species
ACCGAAAUAGCUCAGUUGGGAGAGCGUUAGACUAUAGAUCGAAAAGUCCCUUAUUCGAUCCCGGGUUUUUUUU